rnacentral:sRNA from 1 species
UAGACCAAGAUGAGAUACGAUCUCCUAGU